rnacentral:antisense_RNA from 1 species
UUCCUCCCUUUUUUCUUUUCUCCCUUCCUUCCUUCUUAAUAUGUUUUUGGCCUUUUCUUUAUAUAUGUGGCCUAGCAAUAUCCUGUGUUUGGAAAAGUAUAAACCUAAGGCAUCACCUUUACAGAAAAUAUCUUCCACGGAAACAUCUAAAGGCAAAAAUCCUUCAAAUUCAAAUUUAUCCAAUCAUUUCUUCUGCUUACUACCAUCCUAAAUCAUUUUUCUUUAGUAAGAUCUAUUAGUGGGAAGCUAUUAAGCUAUUAAUAGCCAGAUUUCCUUCUGCACCAGAGCCUGUGGAAGCGCCACAGUGGAAGCAGCAGAGACUGGAAGAGCAGGCAAGAAGCUGGGAGCUUUGCACUGAACCAGGAAGACACCACAGCUCUUAGGCAAAGACCCGGAAAGGUGUCAACAUGGCCACACUACUGCUCCCACCUUGUCCUUACUUUCCUCAUCUCACCCCCACAGGCCACAGAUCAGCCCUGGGGUUCAGAGGGAUCCUGACGGCUACUCCUCAAGAUCCUCUCUGUUGUGAUUCAUCCCCCCCGGGCCCUACAGUUUCUCCUUCCUGACUCUUACAUUUCUUUGGAUGGCAUCAUUAUUUACCUGUCUCCUCCCAUAGUUAGGUGCCAAGCACUGUGGAUUCUGCCCCUCAGUGUCCAGACACCCAUUU